UCCCCGCGGGAAGGUGGCCGCGGCCGCGCACCUGCGUGGGGCAGACGGGACGGAACGGGACCGGACCGGACGGGGCGGGGGGAAACUCCGUGGAAAGUCGGCCCCGGUGGGGCUGAACCGCUCGGGGUUCCCGCGUGUGGGUCCGGAGCUCGGCGCCGGGGGGGGGGGGUCCGGGAGCGGAGCGUCGCGGAGCGUCGCGGAGCCGAGGGGCCGAGCGAUCGGCGCUCCCAAAGUUUUGGGGAACUCUGUCCCGUCCCGAGCUGUAACUGCAGUCUGCUGCCGGCCGCUUUAAAUCUCUGGGAGAAAAUGAUUUCUGGUGGAAGAAGCGGGGAUGCUCGUGGCAUCUCCCCGCUGCCGGCGCAGAGUGAAAGUUCGCACGGGGAAUGAAGGGAGAGGGAACCGCGUCGUGCGCGGGGAGCGGCGGGGAGGACGGGGAAUCCCGGCCGAGGAGAUCCGGAGGUGCCCCCCAUCCGCUGCGGGAGCCGCGCGGUGGGGCCAUCCUUAGAAACGGGGGCGCCGGGACUCAGCCCGGUUACACGUGGAGGUUCCUUCGGAGCGGGGAGCGCUGCGGGGCUGAGCGAUGCGCUGGGGGGACAUGAGCGCGCUUGAGUUCUUUCCCCUUUUAUUAUUGUUAAUUUAAAGGACACCGAGAUCCGCGUAAAGGUGAAGCCGCGCGGUGCCGAUUAUACAUACACAGCAGCCCUUGACAGCGCCUUGUCACUUUUGGGGCUCAGCGUCGCUUCGAGCGCUGUCGAGGAAACGCAGUCACCCAAUGAGGAGCGAAGGGAAACUGAGGCAUGGGCUGUCCCAGGGGCACGCAGCCCCCCCGGCCCCACUUCGCGCUGCCACAUGCUGUCCUCCCACCCCGCAUUCUCCUCAUGUCCCAGCACAGCAGUUCGUAGAGUAACCCUGCGGCUGCCUGAAUGGGGUGAGGUAUAUCCGAGCAUUUCGUAUGUAAAGAACACCCCCCGUCACAAGGGCCUGAUCCUGCUUUUAUUCACGCCUCUGUGAAUUCAUCCGGGGAGCAUCACCAGCGCGUGUGCGGGGCAGAGCAGCGCUGGGUGCGGGUGAGCGUUGCUGCGGAGUCUGAGACUUUCUCAGCCCCUCCUUGCAGAUAAAUCCUUGGAGGAAGAUGCACCAAAGGUGCCUCAGCACAGUGUAAUUUAAUUCAAGAAGGUGGUAUUGAUGAAAACUGUUAAAAAAAAAAAAAAAUGGCGGGGGGGGGGGGGGGGGGGGGGGAAGAAAAGAAAAAAAAGAAAA